rnacentral:rRNA from 1 species
AACAUUGGACAAUCGGCGAAAGCGUGAUACAGCCAGGCCGCGUGUGUGCAGAUGGUCUUCGGUUUGCAAAGAACUUUAUGUGUGGAGGAUGGGCAGUAAGUUAAUACCUUACUGUUUCGAAGUUACUGACAGUAUUAGCACCGGCGCACUUCGUGCCAGCAGCCGCGGUAAUACGAAGGGUGCAAGCGUUAAUCGGAAUUACUGGGCGUAAAGCGCGCGUAGGUGGUUUAUUAAGUUGAAAGUGAAAGCCCCGGGCACAACCUGGGAACUGCUUUCAAAACUGGCAAGCUAGAGUAUGGCAGAGGGUGGUGGAAUUUCCUGUGUAGCGGUGAAAUGCGUAGAUAUAGGAAGGAACACCAGUGGCGAAGGCGACCACCUGGGCUAAUACUGACACUGAGGUGCGAAAACGUGGGGAGCAAACA